rnacentral:misc_RNA from 1 species
GUCCUGACAAAUUGGUGCUGGCUACAUAAUUCUUGUUUCUGCUUGAAUAUUCUAACUCGUACUGGUUCAAUGAUGGGCUGCGUUCUUGCUUCUUGGGAAUAUCUUGCUGUCCUCCUUGUUCAAAAUAUAUAAGCAUGCUACUUAAGAACUAUCUUUAAUGUCCCUAAAUGUGUAUGUGUGAAAAGAAUUGCUUUCUCUUAAGCCACAAAAGCUUGAGUUGAAUCAUGAAGCGAAGUACUCCAGGAAUUUAUUGUGAAUCUCAAGGUGUGACCACUAGCUUUAUGCUCCAUUAUGUACAAAAUAAUUAUAAUCUAAUAUAUGGAAUUCAAUAAGCUUGUGUAUGUGCUGCAGCAUAUAACCAAUGCAAAAGAAGGAAAUUUAUGGAGUGAGUUGCUAUUACUAUUUGUGUCAUUUAACUGUCUUGAUACCAUGUGAAAAGUAAUGGCCUUUGAUCUAG